UGGGGAAUAUUGCACAAUGGGCGCAAGCCUGAUGCAGCCAUGCCGCGUGUGUGAAGAAGGCCUUCGGGUUGUAAAGCACUUUCAGCGGGGAGGAAGGCGUUAAGGUUAAUAACCUUGGCGAUUGACGUUACCCGCAGAAGAAGCACCGGCUAACUCCGUGCCAGCAGCCGCGGUAAUACGGAGGGUGCAAGCGUUAAUCGGAAUUACUGGGCGUAAAGCGCACGCAGGCGGUUGAUUGAGUCAGAUGUGAAAUCCCCGGGCUUAACCCGGGAAUUGCAUCUGAUACUGGUCAGCUAGAGUCUUGUAGAGGGGGGUAGAAUUCCAUGUGUAGCGGUGAAAUGCGUAGAGAUGUGGAGGAAUACCGGUGGCGAAGGCGGCCCCCUGGACAAAGACUGACGCUCAGGUGCGAAAGCGUGGGGAGCAAACAGG
rnacentral:rRNA from 1 species